UACGUAGGGGGCUAGCGUUGUCCGGAAUCAUUGGGCGUAAAGCGCGUGUCGGCGGUCCGGUAAGUCCGCUGUGAAAGUCGGGGGCUCAACCCUCGAAUGCCGGUGGAUACUGUCGGGCUAGAGUGCGGAAGAGGCGAGUGGAAUUCCUGGUGUAGCGGUGAAAUGCGCAGAUAUCAGGAGGAACACCAAUUGCGAAGGCAGCUCGCUGGGACGUUACUGACGCUGAGACGCGAAAGCGUGGGGAGCAAACAGG
rnacentral:rRNA from 1 species